UUUAACGACGUCCUGAGGUUGGCCAAAGACAUCCUUUUAAGUGGAGAGCAAGAUGCGCCCUGCAUGGAGACUGGGCAUUUCCAGUCUGACUGAGCAGCGGGGGCUGAGACACUGCAAAUUAACAACCAGAGAAGAUCAGGGGGACUUUUCAGAUGCCAGGAGCAGGUCCUGGGCCAGCCAUCGGCAUCGCCAAGCAGGAUCCUCAGCGAAGACAAAAGCCACCAGGAAAG